GCCUUCAGCCGUUUGGGACCCCAAAAAAUGUCAUCUUUUUCAUGAGGACACAGUAGAAAACCUAAAGACCUCAGAUCCACCGUUUACACUAAGACCCCCCAGCGAACAACUUCUUCCUCACACACACACCCUAACUUCAUUAGCAUUCUAACACAAUAGAGGGAACACAGCCGUGAAUACACAAAAUAAAGACCUUUAGACUUUUGGAAAGCAGCCGUUUCCUUCUGAUUUUGAUAUACAACCAAAGAGAAAACCUUCAGGGUUGCCUUCUUCUUCAAAGCAGCCGCAACAAUACAAAAAGGACCUCCCCACGUCGAUCUUCUGCUUGAACACAAAUAACCAUUUUAGACCUUCUUCUACAAACAAGGAAGCAACCAUAGACAGAUCUCGAACGCUUCAGCUUCUUCUUCUUCUUGCUGGAAAACGCAGCAACACAACCAUGAAAAACAAUCUCAAAAACCCAUCUAAACAAGCAGAGUUCGAUUCAGGAUAGUCGAGCCGAGCAACAAAACUCCGUCGAAAUUUGAUGGAGCUUCUUGUGGAAGUUCUGUUUGAGGUCUGUGAUCGGUGGCUCGAGUUUGGGCUUUUUGUUCAAAAGUCUUCUUUUAGUUCGUUUCAUUAUCGAUCCUAUCAGUUAUUGAGGUUUUGGGGUUACUCAUUGAAGUGGUGAAGGAUGGUUUCCAAAAGUAUAUUGAUAGUCUCUUGCCUGUUUUGAGAAACAUCUUGCUAUCUGCUGUUAGUGUUCUUACAAAUGAUGCAACGACUUCAUCGUGAGAUGACGCGAAACAACCGGCUGAAGAAGUGCGCAGAAGCAUAAACAAUGUUAUAGGAGUGCAGAGUGUCAUAUAAGGAAGACUCUCAAAUCCAAGAGGGAUAAGAGGAAACAAGAAGAGAAGGUCAUUGCUGUGGUUAAUCCAAUGAGAAAUGCCAAGAGAAAGCUGAGGAUCGCCGAAAAGCAUAAAGCACACAAGAAAAGGAAAAUGAUGUCGCCCCUGGGGCCUAGCUCAAGUGGCAAAGGGUGGUUGAUUUGUGUCUUAGGUCACAGGUUCAAGCCCCCACACCAUGCAAAGCAAAGCCUGGUAUUUAAGUGGAGAAGGACAGAGGGGCGGACCCAUUAUCUACCGAGGAUCGGCUCCAGACGGAUUCUCGGUCGUCAAAAAAAAAAGGGAAAAUGAUGUCAAUGAAGAUGGGAAGAUGGAUGUAGUUAGACUGUGGACUAUAGAGGUACAAAGCCAUUGUUAGGUGUGAAGAAUUGAGCAUCUUCAAAUGCAGUAGCUUCUGUAGAAAAUUUUGUUUUAACUUAUUUGAUCAAAUUUUUUCAUUGUAUAAUGCUGGUAGUUUGCACUAAGCUUAGUUAAAGUAUGGAAUUUGUAUAGUGAAUAUAGUGGCCCUUUGAUUAACCAACAAUGCCAGAGAACAUUGUAAGCGAUUGAACAGUCUAAUUUAAGGAGUUUAAGUAUGAGAAUCA